CCUACGGGUGGCAGCAGUGGGGAAUAUUGCACAAUGGGGGAAACCCUGAUGCAGCGAUGCCGCGUGGAGGAAGAAGGUUUUCGGAUUGUAAACUCCUUUUAUCAGGGACGAUAAUGACGGUACCUGCAGAAAAAGCUCCGGCUAACUACGUGCCAGCAGCCGCGGUAAUACGUAGGGAGCGAGCGUUGUCCGGAAUUACUGGGCGUAAAGGGAGCGUAGGCGGGACGGCAAGUCAGAUGUGAAAACUGAGGGCUCAACUUUCAGACUGCAUUUGAAACUGCUGUUCUUGAGUGCAGUAGAGGUAAGCGGAAUUCCUAGUGUAGCGGUGAAAUGCGUAGAUAUUAGGAGGAACAUCGGUGGCGAAGGCGGUUUACUGGGCUUUUACUGACGCUGAGGAUCGAAAGCGUGGGUAGCAAACAGGAUUAGAUACCCCAGUAGUC
rnacentral:rRNA from 1 species